rnacentral:rRNA from 1 species
AACGAACGCUGGCGGCAUGCCUAACACAUGCAAGUCGAACGAGACCUUCGGGUCUAGUGGCGCACGGGUGCGUAACGCGUGGGAAGCUGCCCUUAGGUUCGGUAUAACUCCCCGAAAGGGAUGCUAAUACCGGUUAAUGUCUUCGGACCAAAGAUUUCUCGCCUUUGGGUGGGCCCGCGUUGGAUUAGCUAGUUGGUAGUGUAAAAGCCUACCAUGGCGACGAUCCAUAGCUGGUCUGAGAGGAUGAUCAGCCACACUGGGACUGAGACACGGCCCAGACUCCUACGGGAGGCAGCAGUGGGGAAUAUUGGACAAUGGGCGAAAGCCUGAUCCAGCAAUGCCGCGUGAGUGAUGAAGGCCUUAGGGUUGUAAAGCUCUUUUACCCGGGAUGAUAAUGACAGUACCGGGAGAAUAAGCUCCGGCUAACUCCGUG